UCCCUGGUGGCUCAAUGGUAAAGCGUCUGCCUACAAUUCGGGAGACCCAGGUUUGAUCCCUGGGUUGGGAA
rnacentral:tRNA from 1 species